GGGCACUCUAAGUUGACNGCCGGUGACAAACCGGAGGAAGGUGGGGAUGACGUCAAAUCAUCAUGCCCCUUAUGAUUUGGGCUACACACGUGCUACAAUGGACAAUACAAAGGGCAGCGAAACCGCGAGGUCAAGCAAAUCCCAUAAAGUUGUUCUCAGUUCGGAUUGUAGUCUGCAACUCGACUACAUGAAGCUGGAAUCGCUAGUAAUCGUAGAUCAGCAUGCUACGGUGAAUACGUUCCCGGGUCUUGUACACACCGCCCGUCACACCACGAGAGUUUGUAACACCCGAAGCCGGUGGAGUAACCUUUUAGGAGCUAGCNGUCGAAGGUGGGACAAAUGAUUGGGGUGAGUCGUAACAAGGUA
rnacentral:rRNA from 1 species